rnacentral:rRNA from 1 species
UACGGGGGGGGCAAGCGUUGUUCGGAAUUACUGGGCGUAAAGGGCUCGUAGGCGGCCAACUAAGUCGGAUGUGAAAUCCCCAGGCUCAACCUGGGAACUGCAUCCGAUACUGGAUGGCUUGAAUCCGGGAGAGGGAUGCAGAAUUCCAGGUGUAGCGGUGAAAUGCGUAGAUAUCGGGAAGAACACCAGUGGCGAAGGCGCUCUACUGGGCCACAACUGACGCUGAGGGACGAAAGCUAGGGGAGCGAAAGGG